GACGAACGCUGGCGGCGUGCUUAACACAUGCAAGUCGAACGCUGAAGCCCUUUCGGGGGUGGAUGAGUGGCGAACGGGUGAGUAACACGUGGGUAAUCUGCCCUGCACUCUGGGAUAAGCCUUGGAAACGGGGUCUAAUACCGGAUAGGACACAUCGCCGCAUGGUGUGUGUGUGGAAAGUUCCGGCGGUGCAGGUUGAGCCCGCGGCCUAUCAGCUUGUUGGUGGGGUGAUGGCCUACCAAGGCGACGACGGGUAGCCGGCCUGAGAGGGUGACCGGCCGCACUGGGACUGAGACACGGCUCAGACUCCUACGGGAGGCAGCAGUGGGGAAUCUUGCGCAAUGGGCGAAAGCCUGACGCAGCAACGCCGCGUGGGGGAUGACGGCCUUCGGGUUGUAAACCUCUUUCGACCGGGACGAAGGGUGACCGACGGUACCGGUAGAAGAAGCACCGGCUAACUACGUGCCAGCCGCCGCCGUAA
rnacentral:rRNA from 1 species